GUGUCAGCCGCCGCGGUAAGACGAACCGUGCGAACGUUGUUCGGAAUCACUGGGCUUAAAGGGCGCGUAGGCGGUUCAUCAAGUCAGGAGUGAAAUCUUUCGGCUUAACCGGAAAAGUGCUUCUGAUACUGAUGAUCUCGAGGGAGGUAGGGGUCCGCGGAACUUCUGGUGGAGCGGUGAAAUGCGUUGAUAUCAGAAGGAACGCCGGUGGCGAAAGCGGCGGACUGGAUCUCUUCUGACGCUGAGGCGCGAAAGCUAGGGGAGCAAACGGGAUUAGAUACCCUUGUAGUCC
rnacentral:rRNA from 1 species